rnacentral:ncRNA from 1 species
UUAGGUUUCGUGAUGUUACUAAACAAGAAUAACUGACAACUUACUCACCAAGAUAUACUAUUUCCCCUUUAGUUAUAUUGGUCCAUUUUUCAGUGUCAUACAU